UUAGGCCUACAGUAUUAAAAUUGGACUCAUGUACUAGGAACAUCAUUUCUUUAGCAGAAUUAUCCCACUGAAUUAAAAGGAACUCUUUUUUCAGGUGCGCAUGAUGCAACUUCCUUGAUGAUGUGUAGGCUGUUUGUCAACAUGUGAAUCCAACGUGCAUUUCUGUGAGUUGUCUCCCCUUGAAAAGAUCAAUAAUGGCGGAUAAACAAUGCGGCAUGCAGUCUGGUCACCAACGGACAGUUUUGACACUGUAUACCUGUAUUUCUACCAAUUACCUCAGUAACCUUUGUUGUGAUCACACAGAUGAUGGACCACUCUACUCUCUUUUACAACAGGUGCCCC